GCCGGAGUGGCGAAAUCGGUAUACGCAGGGCCCUCAAAAGGCCCCGGCCUCAAGGCCGUGUGGGUUCGAGUCCCACCUCCGGCA
rnacentral:tRNA from 1 species